GCCCUCACUCGGUAAUCUUCCGGUAUGGGGUGACUGCGGAAGGAUCAUUACCGAGUGAGGGCCCUCUGGGUCCAACCUCCCACCCGUGUCUAUCGUACCUUGUUGCUUCGGCGGGCCCGCCGUUUCGACGGCCGCCGGGGAGGCCUUGCGCCCCCGGGCCCGCGCCCGCCGAAGACCCCAACAUGAACGCUGUUCUGAAAGUAUGCAGUCUGAGUUGAUUAUCGUAAUCAGUUAAAACUUUCAACAACGGAUCUCUUGGUUCCGGCAUCGAUGAAGAACGCAGCGAAAUGCGAUAAGUAAUGUGAAUUGCAGAAUUCAGUGAAUCAUCGAGUCUUUGAACGCACAUUGCGCCCCCUGGUAUUCCGGGGGGCAUGCCUGUCCGAGCGUCAUUGCUGCCCUCAAGCACGGCUUGUGUGUUGGGCCCCCGUCCCCCUCUCCCGGGGGACGGGCCCGAAAGGCAGCGGCGGCACCGCGUCCGGUCCUCGAGCGUAUGGGGCUUUGUCACCUGCUCUGUAGGCCCGGCCGGCGCCAGCCGACACCCAACUUUAUUUUUCUAAGGUUGACCUCGGAUCAGGUAGGGAUACCCGCUGAACUUAAGCAUAUCAUAGCCCCGAAGGAACAUUACCGA
rnacentral:rRNA from 1 species